rnacentral:rRNA from 1 species
ACUACGGGUGGCAGCAGUGAGGAAUAUUGGUCAAUGGGCGGAAGCCUGAACCAGCCAAGUAGCGUGCAGGAUGACGGCCCUACGGGUUGUAAACUGCUUUUAUACGGGAAUAACGCGCCUUACGUGUAGGGCUUUGCAUGUACCGUAUGAAUAAGGACCGGCUAAUUCCGUGCCAGCAGCCGCGGUAAUACGGAAGGUCCGGGCUUUAUCCGGAUUUAUUGGGUUUAAAGGGAGCGUAGGCCGCAUGUCAAGCGUGCUGUGAAAUGUCCGGGCUCAACCCGGGCCUUGCAGCGCGAACUGGCGUGCUUGAGUCCGCGGAAAGCAGGCGGAAUUCGUCGUGUAGCGGUGAAAUGCUUAGAUAUGGCGAAGAACCCCGAUUGCGAAGGCAGCUUGCUGCAGCGGAACUGACGCUGAUGCUCGAAAGCGCGGGUAUCGAACAGGAUUAGAUACCCUAGUAGUC